rnacentral:rRNA from 1 species
UUUGCGUCGAAGGUAUACCGGUAAGGAGUGCUGGAGCGAAUAGAAGUGAGCAUGCAGGCAUGAGUAGCGAUAAUUAAUGUGAGAAUCAUUAACGCCGUAAACCCAAGGUUUCCUACGCGAUGCUCGUCAUCGUAGGGUUAGUCGGGUCCUAAGUCGAGUCCGAAAGGGGUAGACGAUGGCAAAUUGGUUAAUAUUCCAAUACCAACAUUAGUGUGCGAUGGAAGGACGCUUAGGGCUAAGGGGGCUAGCGGAUGGAAGUGCUAGUCUAAGGUCAUAGGAGGUUAUACAGGCAAAUCCGUAUAACAAUACUCCGAGAACUGAAAGGCUUUUUGAAGUCUUCGGAUGGAUAGAAGAACCCCUGAUGCCGUCGAGCCAAGAAAAGUUUCUAAGUUUAGCUAAUGUUGCCCGUACCGUAAACCGACACAGGUGGGUGGGAUGAGUAUUCUAAGGCGCGUGGAAGAACUCUCUUUAAGGAACUCUGCAAAAUAGCACCGUAUCUUCGGUAUAAGGUGUGGUUAGCUUUGUAUUAGGAUUUACUCCGAAAGCAAGGAAACUUACAACAAAGAGUCCCUCCCGACUGUUUACCAAAAACACAGCACUCUGCUAACUCGUAAGAGGAUGUAUAGGGUGUGACGCCUGCCCGGUGCUCGAAGGUUAAUUGAUGGGGUUAGCAUUAGCGAAGCUCUUGAUCGAAGCCCGAGUAAACGGCGGCCGUAACUAUAACGGUCCUAAGGUAGCGAAAUUCCUUGUCGGUUAAAUACCGACCUGCAUGAAUGGCGUAACGAGAUGGGAGCUGUCUCAAAGAGGGAUCCAGUGAAAUUGUAGUGGAGGUGAAAAUUCCUCCUACCCGCGGCAAGACGGAAAGACCCCGUGGACCUUUACUACAGCUUGACACUGCUACUUGGAUAAGAAUGUGCAGGAUAGGUGGGAGGCUUUGAGUAUAUGACGCCAGUUGUAUAUGAGCCAUUGUUGAGAUACCACUCUUUCUUAUUUGGGUAGCUAACCAGCUUGAGUUAUCCUCAAGUGGGACAAUGUCUGGUGGGUAGUUUGACUGGGGCGGUCGCCUCCCAAAUAAUAACGGAGGCUUACAAAGGUUGGCUCAGAACGGUUGGAAAUCGUUCGUAGAGUAUAAAGGUAUAAGCCAGCUUAACUGCAAGACAUACAAGUCAAGCAGAGACGAAAGUCGGUCUUAGUGAUCCGGUGGUUCUGUGUGGAAGGGCCAUCGCUCAAAGGAUAAAAGGUACCCCGGGGAUAACAGGCUGAUCUCCCCCAAGAGCUCACAUCGACGGGGAGGUUUGGCACCUCGAUGUCGGCUCAUCGCAUCCUGGGGCUGGAGCAGGUCCCAAGGGUAUGGCUGUUCGCCAUUUAAAGCGGUACGCGAGCUGGGUUCAGAACGUCGUGAGACAGUUCGGUCCCUAUCUGCCGUGGGCGUAAGAAGAUUGAAGAGAUUUGACCCUAGUACGAGAGGACCGGGUUGAACAAACCACUGGUGUAGCUGUUGUUCUGCCAAGAGCAUCGCAGCGUAGCUAAGUUUGGAAAGGAUAAACGCUGAAAGCAUCUAAGCGUGAAGCCAACUCUAAGAUGAAUCUUCUCUAAGCUCUCUAGAAGACUACUAGUUUGAUAGGCUGGGUGUGUAAUGGAUGAAAGUCCUUUAGCUGACCAGUACUAAUAGAGCGUUUGGCUUAUCUUUAAUAAAGCAU